rnacentral:lncRNA from 1 species
CCCCACAUGUCUCUCUCUAGAUUUAUCUCUAGAUUUUUCCAUAUUUAUCUCUCUCUCUCUCUCUUUCUCUCUCUCUCUCUCUCUCUCUCUCUCUCUCUCUCUUUCCUAAUUAAACUUAAGUUUUUAUUAAAUGUGUAAGUUAUUCAAGUCAAGGAGGGGUGAGUAGUUUUAUAUUUGUGCGUCAAAGUCAGAGCCUAUUCAUCACCAUAAAUAGCCCACAGGGCCAUAACCUUUUUAUUUUUUUUUUCUAAAAUACCUCUUAUAUGUUCCACCGUUAUUAUAAAUAAAAUACCUCCGCAGUUAUCUCCUGUUAAGUAACUUAAGUUAAACGUGAGUUAAAUAUCUACCACAACUAAAAAACUUAAAAUACCAAUUUUGCCCUUAACUUUAGGGCAAAUAAGAAAUGUUGGUGACAGUAGAGGGGUAUAUUAAAAAAGAUCAAAAGUUAAAAUACUUUUUGUGCCCCUGACUUUAAGGACAAAUAAGAAAGUCGGCGAUGGUGGAAGGGUAUACUUGAAAGGGCAAAAUAGUAAUCUUACAAAGAUAACAGAGUUAAUAAACUGAUUUUAACUCUAGAGAUAUAUUAGAAAUAGGUUGAAACGUAGAAAGGGUAUUUUCAAUAUUAGCCUUCUAAGAGGAGUAAAUCGCGAGUCGGAAAUUUUUCACGGGUAUAUAAACAAUUGCCCCUUUUUUUAAAUAGUAGGGAACAAAUUUUUUUUUUUUACCAUUAUUUAGUUGAAAGGAAGAAAACAAAAUUAUUAUAUAUAUUUUUUCUUAUUAUAUAUAUUAUAUUAUUAUUAAUUUAUAAUAAUUAGUAUACUAUAUAUAUUAUUAUUAUAUUUUUAAAAAUAAAUAUAUUUAAAAUAUAUUAUAUAAUAAGUUUGUAAUAUAAUACAUAAUAGUAUAUUAUAUUUAGUACUAUAAAAUAAAUUACUAUAUAUUUAUAAAUAAUAUUUAUAAAUAUAAUAUUAUAUAGUAAUAUAUUAUAUAAAAAUAAAAUAUUAUAUAUAUAUAUAUAUAUAUAUAGAGUGAGGCUACUAUACUUCUAGAAGCACGGAGCUUUCCGUGCUUCCAGAUCUUUUUCCAUGUUGCGACUUUCGAAUCGUCGAUCGGCUCUAUUAAACUUAAUCUAGAGUAUUUAAAGUAGCUAGAAAAUAAAUUUUGCAAUUUUUCGAUAUCAUUUGUCUAGUGAACAAAGGGGCUCAAAAUCAACGGCUGAAAAUAAAAAUCUUACAAAAUGUAAUAAUAUGACAUUAAAAUUUUAGAUCAAAAAUAUUGAUCUUAUUUUAGAUCUGGAUAUUUCUAUACCGUUAAACUUGCAAACGGCUCACUACGGCCAUUAAAAUUAUUGAUUUUGAGCCCCUUCGAUCACUAGACAAAUGAUAUCGAAAAAUUAUAAAAUUUAUUUUCUAGUACUUCAAAUACUCUAGAUCAAAUUUUACGGAGCCGAUCGACGAUUCGAAAGUCGCAACAUCAAAAACGACCUGAGAGCACGGAAGGUUCCGUGCUUCUAAAAGCAUAAUAACCUCAUACACUAUAUAUAUAUAUAUAUAUAAUGAAGAGAGAGAGAGUCUGCAGGCUCUAGGUGUGGACUCUCCCUCAUGCGGUCCACGAGGUGAAGUUCACCUUGGGUACUGUGUGUUAACACACCUGUGCCACGAUUUUUUAGGACGAGACUUGAAGAGAGCAAAAAAACAAAAAUUCUUCUGAAAAUCUGUUACGAAUAACCAAAUAAUAGAAAAAAAAUUUCAACGAAAAAUAUUUUUCAGAAUGAUUUUACGUGGAUCCAAGCACACCCUUACUAAAUUUAGAUUUAUUAUCUUUAAUCCACGGAUAUAUAGUAAAUAUAACUUCAGUAAUUUAAUUUCAAUCAACAGUUAUUUUUAUUUUUGUAUAAAUCACAAUGAUUAAUGAAAGAAAUUGAAUAGUGGUGAGCCCACUACCAUCUCGUAAUAUUACUUCUAUAAUGAGAAUGAAUAAAUCACUCUAAUUCUUCUAUUUUUUUUUUCUUUUACUAGCUAAGAGUAUUCUUAUUAAAAUGUUUGACAAAUUAAUAAGAAAUCUUAAAACUCUACUACCAUUCUAAACCUUAAUAAAACACAAAACUCUAAAAAUUAAAAAGCUCUAACUUAUUGCCAAGCCAGGUAAUAAUGUUCACACAUGCAUGUACUCAACGUUGUACGUACGCGCGUACGUAGUAAAUUGCUCCGACCAAGGAUUGUAGCAUAUCCUUUCUCACGACUCUCUCUCUCUCUCUCCCUCUUCAUACAUUAACCAACGAAUUUUAAGGGAAAAAAUAUGCCAAGCUUGUCGUUUUAUGGCGACAUUAAGAAUAUCCUGUUUCCCGUACACCAACGUGUUAGCGUACAUCUCUCUCCCUCCUUUGUCAACGCACCCCUCCUCCAUAUAUAUCCUAUCCUUAGAUGAAACAAUAAUAAUAAGCAAGAGAGAGGAAGAGGAGGAAGAAGAGGAAGAGGAUAAAUCUAUCAUCAAUAUGAAGUUGGUAUGGUGCCCGGAGAUGGCGUCGAAGGCGUACAUCGACGGCGUGAAGACGCUGGCGGAGCGAGAGCUCGCCGACACCGACGUUGCCGAGCUCGUCUCCGCCAUGGCCGGGGGCUGGAACGCGCAGCUCAUCGUCGAGGCCCCGGCCCCGGCACCGCACGACGUCGCCGCCAUCACCCUCGCCCUCUCCGCCGCCGCGCGCCACACCGGCGCCCGCUACGUCUGCGUCUACCCAGACCGUAACUCGGCGGCGGAGCACCCCGCGGAGGUGGUGGUGGGGGAGGCGGCGGAGGCGAUGGGGGGGCUGGAGGGGGUGGACCUGCUGGUGGUGGACGCGCGGCGCGGGGACGCGGCAGCGGCGGUGGCGGCGGCGAGGCCGGGGCCGAGGGGGAUGGUGGUGGUGCAGCACCACGCGGGGCGGCGGAGGGGCUGCGGCGGCGGCGGCGUCGCGUUGGUGCCGGCGGUGGAUUCGGCACGUGGAUCGGGACACGGGCGAGGAGCACGUGUUCCGACGCUGAUAUCCUUCUGGAUAAUUUUCAUGUCAUACGUCAAUAUGCCAGCACAGCAGCAGAACUUAUCUCCAAACACGGAUAUCAGCUGAACAUGUGCUGGCACUUUGAAAAUGUGAAUAGAUAGCAACGCAUGAUAGCAUAUGUUCAUUUUGACAUAUUUUUUCUUUUCUAAUUUUGUAUCUUUAUUAUAUGUAAGAUAAAAGUUUGUAAGAUGACAAUGGAAUCCACGCGUUGUGAAUUUUUUGGUUAGUAAUUCCAUUACGUAUUUACAAGAGCCGUUAUACCACCAAGACUUAAAAUUUUCGACCUAAAAUUUUAGUGCAGAUUGGGAAAGAAACUAAAGCUUAAUUCGCAUGGCUAGUCCUGCAAAUGACAUAUUAUAUAAAAAAUUUCACUAAUAUUUAAGUAAAGAUCCAUCACUUUGAUAAAAAUUAUCGAUCGGCUCUAAAGCAGGUGGCAAAGGAUUUAGUAAUUGAUACCCGAGACCCAUGUUCGAAUUAUAGUUGAUUCACAUUUUCAACUAAGUUUAUUUUUAAAUAAAAUAAACAAAGCAGAUAGUGUUCUACCUAUCUUUUUUUUUUAAAAAAAAGGAUAAAAGUUGCGUAAAUUGGCAAUUUCACAAAUACUUUUCCAUGAAUUCCAUUAUCAACCAAUAUAAGUUACUUACUAUUUACAUGAAUAAUAUUAUGCUUACAAAUUUUUUACAAACUUUCUGUAAGCACGUGUUUCUAUGGUUGGAUUUAUUUAUUUAUUUAUUUUUUCUCAUUUGUGAACACACAUAAAAAAAAAAAUAGAACCUAAAAUUCUGAAAAAUUAAUUUUAUGAAAUUUUAUGGAAAAUAUCAUUUCUAUAGCUUUAGUUUUCCAGAAAAAAUAAUCAAAAAACCAUAAGUAGAUUCUUCCAUAAAAUCUGUAUAAAAAAAUUUAAAAAAAUUACAUUUUCUGAAACCAAUCAGCCAGAAAACUAUUUUCUAUUUUUUUUUGUUUAACCAAAUUGUAGAUAGUUUUGUUCCUAAGCACAGUAUUAGUGUAUCUACAUAAUGCUUUGUACUCUUUGGGAAGGAAAUUUUUUUUUUUUUUUCCAGAUGUAAACUUAAGAUACAUCCCAAUUUCUUUCCUUGUUUUUUAAUUUCCAUCUCAUUAGUACUUUACUAGAUUGAAUGAGUAGUCAUAGAUUAUGUUAAUGUUCAUUUGAGAGCAUAUCUAAACAACUUGUUACUAAUUUAAGUAAAUAAAGAGUUAGGCUUACUAAUUUGUGAGAGAUCUCUCCAUCACCCAGAAUAAAGUAGCACUAGAUCGCAUAAUAGAAAAAUGAAACCGACAUACAACUCCUAAAUAAUUAAAUCCUGAGUUUAGUUGAUCAGUAUUAUAAAAAGAAAUUAGUAACCAAGUUGAUGUUCGAUCAGUGUUUGACGUUAACUUAGCCUUAAUUAACUAGGAGUUCUACCUAACGAGACGAAUAAUUUGACGACAAGCAUAACAUAAGUGAUAAGCUUAGCUUAGCUGAUCAAAAUCGAACUUGAAAACGCAUGCAAAAAUAGCAAAACAUGCCAAAGCUUUAAUUUUAGGUCGAUAAUAACACCUAUUUCACAUCUUUGAAAACAAAAACUCCCUUAAAAGACGAAGAAAAAAGGCAAAGAUAAUAAGAACUAUUCGGACGAGGUCAUAGUUAGGUUAGGUUCAAUUAAUAAUGUCCUCAUCUAAUCGCCACUUAGUAGUUCGGUUAGUAGGUAUUCUCAUGGUCGAGGUGAAGCUAGAUCUUGGAUUUCUAAUCCAGUUUGGUGCCCAAAAAAACAGGUGGGUGCGCAGGCCUUCGAGCAUAACUUAAAAAUAAAAAAAGCGAUAAAGCGCCAGUGAUGAUCUUAAUCCAACAUUGUUAGCUAUCAAAGUAAAAUUUACAAAUUCAGAAAUCGAGUAAGUCAAGUAGGGAUAUAAAGAGUGCAUACAUUCAUGUAACAUUUCGAGUUAAUUUGCAGCAACAGAUACACUUACAGAUGCAAAAUUCAACAACAAUUACAGCUACAAAUGUACAAGAUUUUGGACUAAAAGCCUCUGGCUAUUUAUAAUGGUAAUCAACACAAAUCACCCUGAUUAAGGAGAGAGAGGAGCAGUGAAAUGAAACCGGGAUUGUUAACUAUACGAAAGAUUGCGCUUCUUUACCUCGCAUGGAAAUGGAUGGACUCGCUCGUUUAUGCACUGUAGAGGUAUAUUUUUCUCCUCAUAUGUUAAGCCAGUGAUUUCAAUUUAUUCUUCUUCUAUUCAGUACUAUUCAGUAGUGUGUUUAGAUCAACAGGAAAAAGAUCUCUCUAAUUGUGAUCUGAAUUAUCCUGAAAUAGAAGAAAAGGAGAACCAUCAACACAAUCUUUAGCAUCGCCUAAACAAAAAAGAUGAAUCAUAUUUGGCAACUACACCGAUCGUCCCUAGAGCAAGUGACAAAGGGCUUGAUGGUUGGUACCCGAGACCCAAGUUCGAAUCCUAGUUGAUUCACAUUUUCAGCUAAAUUUAUUUCUAAAUGAAAUAAACGAAGCGGGUAGCGUGCUACCUAUCUCUCAAAAAAAUAUUUGGCAACUACUAAAAUACAGCUUUCAGAAUCAUGAUUUGAUGAUUAUCAGGACAACCAUCCAUUACAAGCAAAUGAAAAGUCGACUAGUUACAGCUUCAGGAAUUGUACCUUAUAGUCAAUCCCAACUAUCUCUAUUCCUCCUGAAUGUUUUCUUUUGUGAGAGAGCUUUUUUGUUCAGAAUCCUCUUUUGCUCUCCAACAGCAGCCCUUCAAUAACAAAGGGAACGAGGUAACUCAUUCAGUUCCAUUAACAUAGUUUAACAGUAUAUCAUCUUCGAGUCUAAACAGAACAAGUUGAAAGCAAAAUGACAUCCUUUUCUUAAUAUAAAGGAAACCGUAGAUAAAUAUGGCUUACAAUUUUUCAAUCCUUUUCUUUUGCUCUUCUGAAGGAGGCGGUGGAACAUAUGAUGCAGCAUCAAUAAUAGCCUGCUCGGAAAAAAGAAAGGAUUUAGAAAAGAGUAAAAGGAAGAAGCCCCCACAAUUAAGAAGGGCAAAGAACAAAAGACAAAUGAAGUAAAAUUUUGUGUUCUGCUAGAUAAAGAAGCCCAAGUUCACUACUGGACCUGCAAUUUCUCGAGAGCGUCUUCGAUGUUACCCCUGCAAAAGAUUAACCAAUCGAUUGAAUUCACAACCAAUUGAAAAUACGGCAUACUACAGCAAAAGAUGGUAGUUUACUUUUGGGUUCUUGUCUUUGUAGAAGAAAUUACAAGCUCCCCAUCCUUGUUGAUACGAUUCUUUUCCUGUGAAAAAGACCCCCAGCUAUCAGGUUGGAAUGAUUUAAGGACCAAAUGAACGGGAUGAUAAUAUUCAGAAGGUUUUGAGAGUAACCAUUUGAAGUAUUCUCUCCCUAAUUCUCUCACCCAACCAAUUUGCCUGCUUGACAUUGAAGCGCAUGUCCACCUUGGUAUUCACUGCAAGAAUAAAGAUUAUGCUACAAAUUUAGAAAGCCAAAAAAUGAAAAUUAAUACCGAAAAGCAGCAAAUUGCAGGAGAUUAAAUAAUUGCAACAACAAAACGCAUGUAAAAUGUUAAAUAAUAGGCACAAACACCACGUAUAAGUAGAAGCCAAUCUGAUACAGAGACAAUAUAUAAACCAAGUUAGGCCCUAACAUGAACCAAGGGAUGAAUAUUCCUCAAGAGCAAGGGUAUUCAACAGAGCACAAAAAACAAUAAAAUCUAUUAUAGGAAGUUGUGUGUCCAGAUGUCUACCAUGUAACAUGAUUAGCAGUUAUUGCCUCGCAAAGAGGCAGAAAAUUCUACAUAACACAAGAAAUAUGGUGGAAAAAACAAAUAAAUUGUUAUAGCCUUAGAAUGAGAACGGGUAGGGAAGGACUAAAAUGCACCAUCACAUCCUAAGCAAUAAAAGAUAGAUUUCUAGAGACAUUUGAAAUAACGAUGAAAAAGCACCUAGAAAAUUGAUAAAGAUAGCAAAACCAAAGCAAAUAAGAGUACAAUUAAUAGGUUGCUAGCCUGAGUUGAGAUUAAAAUCCACCCAAAAAGAAAAAAGAAACCGAAACAUUUCAUGAGUUGCACUUCUUAGAGUAUAAAACUUUAUUUGGUACUUUAACAAUUAUAUUUUAGAGACCAUAAUAAGAAAAUAAAUGAUAACAAUAAUAAACUCAUCACACCUUUGUUGACAUUCUGACCACCAGGCCCACCACUUCUUGCAAAGCUAACAGUGACAUGAUCUGCAGAAUAAAGGAAUUUCAAAUUAGACAAGAGAAAACUGAAAAAUGUUUAAUUUAGACAACAUAAUAUGCCCAGUAAUCUUGAACAAAAGAAAAACACUAACAUCAAAAUGUGUCAAAUAACACCUGCAUCAAUAUUGCUCAAUCUUCCUGUCAAUAUCAACAUGUAUAAUGUAUAAAGUAAAAAUAUGCCAAAUGUAAAGUCAAAGCAUGCCAACAAUUGAUGCCACCACAGUUAUCAGAGGCUACAAAGCAGGGUUUGAGUUUUGCCGAAAACAGUCCGAUGUCCAAAAUAAUGAUAUGCAGUUAUUUAUAGUACUCACUGAAAAUUAACAAUUGUUCUGUAAAACAUGCUAACAAUUAAAUGUUACAAGUUACAACUUGUAUCAGCUUAUUUGCAAGCUGAAAGGUUAAAAUUCAACAUAGAUUAAAUCCUUCUAAACAGAGACACUCCGCAGCUCUUCCUCCUUUCUCUUAGCAGGUAUUUCAAACAUUAAAUAAAUUCCCCCAUUUUUAAAAAAAAAAUCAAAUGAUAUUUUUGCAUUCCCAUGCAACACCCAUUAGAAGUAAAUCAAUCACUCAAUUAUUAUCCAAAAUUUCAUCAUACAUUGAUCUCUUGUACCUAAAAAGCUAUCACAUCUUAUUUCAUCAAUACAAAGUUUCUUUCCUAAUCAAGGACUCUAAAAAUUUAGCAACAAUCAAAUUAUUUUAAUAUUCUUCAUGAAAAGCUAAAAUGAGCCAAUUUACAAAGCUUCUAAACCCCACUUUAGAAGAAAUCAUGGAUAUGCCUUACUGUGUAAAAAGGAUCCUAUUAGGGCUGGAUUCAUUUACACAAGACUACUAUACAAUUUCGUAACUGAUUUUUUAUCAGCCUCAUUUGGAGUCUACAAAAUAUAAGAAAAAUAGAGGCAAAUAUCCGUCUGAAAAUCCUAAGGCAGAAUAGGACGUUAACUGAAACUAAAUUGACCCCAAUUGACUCAAUCUCGACCAUUUAUGGACUCAAUUUACAAGACUUAACUACAACUUGGCUCCAUUCAUGGCUAUGAAGACCCUCAGCAAGAAUAACACUCCUGUCCAAACUGAAAUCUAAUUACACUUACUCAGAUUUAGACCCAAAGACUGGCUAAUAUUUGACCUACACCAAUUGAUUUCGAACCGGCUCAAACUUGACAAUCCAUAGGCUCGAUUAGCUAGACUAAAACUGAUCUAAUUUAGUCACACCAAUGAAAAUCCUUUAAGAAGAAUAUAAGAUCUGCCCGAACUGAGACCUACCCACAGUUAUUCAGAUUUUAGAUCCAAAUACAGGCAACGCUGACCAGCCUUGAUCAAUUCGAACUGAUUCAAUCUUGACAAUUUAGCCACUUGAUAACCCAGUUCACGCCUAAACUAAAUCAAGCGUAGCUUAUCCGCCAGAAAAAUAUAUUUCCUACAGAAAAGAUACUAAGAUAGCAACUAUAUAUAUCAAAUUGAACAAAUAUCAGAUGCAAUUUUCAAUGCAACAUUACUAUAUGCUCAAAAUGGAGAAUAUUUUUGGCAAUACUUCUACUAUUUCAUAAUAGCUCCCUAGAUUGGAAGGCGAAACAAUCCAAUCUUGCUCACAUCUAACAAUUUCGCUGAGAUUUACAAAAAGACCAAAAUUGAUUAACCAAUACAAAUUAAAAAGGGCCCUAAAUUGCAAAAAUUUCUUCCCUUUCAUUUCCAUUAGCAACCAUAUAUUCGAUUAUCCAAACACAACGCUAUGUCCUUUCACUGAUAACAUAUAUUAGCAUACUAAUCGACAAGAUAACCCUAAACAAAUAUGGCGAACGAUUUAUCCAUCAUUUCUCAGUCCAUUUUCGUUAUUCUUUAGAUCGACACGAUCGAGAAUAGGAAUUUACCCAGCGUGAUCUUGGGGCUGGGCUCGGAUCCCGCGGAGACGGCCCGGUCCUCGGCUUCUCGGAGGAUCUGCUGCAUCAUCGAGAGCCGUGCCGACACCUUCUUCCCCCCAUCCGCCUCCGCCGCCGACUCCGACGCCGCGCAUCGGACGUGCCUAAUCCCGAAGUGGAUGCGGCUCGGAAAGAGGAGGAUACUGCUUCGGAGAAUCGCCAUUGUUGCGAAAAGAGAGAGAGAGAGAGAGAGAGAGAGAGAGAGAGAGAGAGAGAGAGGGGUUAGGGUUAAGGUUAGGGUUAGGGGAUUUGAUUUGCCGUGAGAGAGGUGUUCGUGGGUGUUUUGUGGACGUCGCGGAGAGUGGAGGUGAGGGAGGGAACGAACGAAAGAGAAAGCUCGAAGCGGAUAUACUCAGUAGUGGUUCGUGGGUCUAAAUAUCUAGAUCCGACCCGUCAUAGAUCCGAGGUUUUUUUUCUUUUUCUUUUUUAUUUUUCUUUUUUGACUUAUAUUAUUAUUUUAUUAUAAACAUAAUUUCUCAAUUGUACCAUAAAUACUAAAUAAAUAAAGAAAUAAAAGGAACUGUCCCCAACGUUAAUAAACUGCAUAAUCUAAUCCCCCUUAACAUAGUUACUGUAACAUUAGAAAAAUAAAAAAUAUAUAUUUUUUAUUUUGAGGGUUAUGUGCAAUAUAUAUAUAUAUAUAUAUAUAUAUAUAUAUAUAUAUAUAUAUAUAUAUUGCAAAACUGAAUUUAAAAUUGGAUAAAAUUAAUAACUCUAUAAACUAUUAAUCAUGAAUAGUUAAGAUAAUUAAUAGUGUCAUCGGCUAAAAUGCCAUGUUUCUUGCAGUGAAAUCUAUUAAAUUUAUUGUCAAAUUUGAAAAAUUCAAUCCCCAAUUUGAUUCACACAUAAGCAACUAAAAUAAUUUUGUUUUGAAUAUUUAUUCACAAUGGCCCAUAAUUAAAUAGGUCACUAUAUAUACAUGGAUCGAUCGAUUUUACUUCCCACAACUCUUAUUAAGCACUAGUUUGAUAAUGUAGUCUUUAAAAAUAUCUUUUUUAUACUUCCAAGGACAUAAAAUUUCAAAAUGUUUCCAAUAUUUUAUUUUUUUAUGCUAUAAAAUUAUAGUGUCAACCACUACUAGAGAAACAUGUGCUUGUGUAGCUAAAUAAUGGGAUUAUUUCUUAGUAUUAGUACCAUUAAAAUAAGUAGUUAACUAUAUAUAUUCUUCUAAAAAUUACUGAAGAAGACAUGUAUUUCCAAACUCCACAUAUAGAAAUAUAAAUUUUGUACUAUCGUAAGUUCUUUCACAUUAAGGGGCUGUUUGGUUGCACGCAUUUGCAACUGCAGUGCAGUUGCAAAUACGUGCAACCUCAAUUCCUUUGUUUGGUUUAGUGUAGUUGAGUUCAACUGCUGUAGUUCCAACUACACAAGAAGGUCCAAAUGCUGCAGUUGAAACUACAUCCAAAUUGGUCGUAGUUCCAACUGCAGCAGUUGGUGAGGGAUAGGAUCACCCACAAAUUAACAAUAAUAAAUAAAUAAAUAAAUAGCUAAAUAAAUAAAUAAUAUAUGUAUAUAGGUAAAUAAAAAUACUUGUAAAUAAACUCAUACUAAUAAAAUUUUUUAGACAAUACAAGCUUUGUGCAAAAAAUUAAAUUUUUUAAAUUUAUUUUAUUUAAAAUAUAAAUAUUGUUUUUUUAAAAAAUUUUUAUAGAAUGUGAUCAUGUAUGUUAAUUUAAUAAGUUUUAAUUAAUUAUAAUUAUUAAAUUUGAUAAAAAAAAUGAGAGAAUCGUUUAAAUUUUAAAGUUUGAUUUACAUAUUAAAAUUAAAUAAAUUAAAAAUUUUAAAUGUGUCGAUUAAUAAGUUGAAGAAUAUUAUAUAUAUCUACUUAUUUAUUUAUAAAUAGUAAAUUUAAAUGAUUAAUAAACUUAUACAAUUAUUUUAUGUUUAGUGAAGGUAAUCUCACCACUCUAUCUGAAAAGGUGACAAAAUUCACAAAUACAACUAUCAGCUUCAUAUUACCAAACAGAAGAAAUGUAACUGCAGCAGUUGCAACUGCGUAAAACCAAACAGACUAGGUGUAGUUACAACUGCAGCAUUUGCAACUGAAUGUAUUUCCAACUACACUGUUUCUGCAACUACAUCCAACCAAACAGCCCCUAAAUGCAUGCAUAAUCUAAUACGUGAAAUUAAGAUUCAAAACCACAUUUUAUGAGAAAAUUAAAUCACCUCCCCCAGUUCCAACGAUUUGCCAAUGAUUUUCUUUUGCUUACUAUAUAAGGAGUAAUAACAUAAAAUACUUAUAAUAAUCUUACAUUAAUAAGUAUAGCUUCAGAAUAAGAAGCAUGUCCCAAUUAAAACGAUAGAGAAUCGAAUAGCUAUACUUAUAAUAUUAUUGAAAAUAAGAUUAUAAAGAGAAAUAUUACAAAGAUUACAAGUUACUUCUCUGGUCAGAAACAAACAUAUUAAUUCCUCGUGUCCCAAAAUAACUCAUCACGAAAUUAGAGCGAAAUAACAAAAAUUGCGAUCCGAUUAGUUAAAAAAAUUAUUUAAAGUGAACUUUAUAGAACUUUAAAUCUCGAUUUGCUACAUAGUGCGUCUUUCAUCUGAGCUGAAGCUAGUGUAGAAAAAACAGUGCCCGCCUGAGUAAUGCUGCGGCGGUGCCCUCCAAGAACCGGAGGACGGUGCUGCACUCCAACAAGCGCGCGUCAACCCCGCUGCUCACUAGUGGCUUGAAGAAGAGCCCCAAAGCGGUGGCGAUGACGAACCCCACGGUGAUCGGCGUCGCCAACAAUGGCGGCAGCGGCGCCCACCCCCUCAGGCGCCACCACCUCGACCUCUUCACUGCUCCCUCUGCCACCGUGACCAUCCCAUGCAACACGAAAAACGCCGCGGGCUCCCCCGUGGGGGGCCGCAGCGUGGCGUAGCAGAACAUGGCCUCGUGCAUGACCCCGGAGACAAGGAAUGCGGCGAGCGCAGCAGUGGUGGGGCCGAGGCUGCGGCGUACGGGGUCAUAAACGGCGGGACGGAGCACGGCGGAGACCGUGAGGUUCCACCGCCGGCCCCAGAAGUCGCCGAGGGAGGUGGCCAAGUAGGGUUUAUUGAACUGGGGCUCGAGGUCCACGCGCAAUGCUCUGCCAACUACGACGGCAGAGAAGGCGAAGACGAGAUCGAUAGCUAAGUAGAAAUGGGCGCAGUAGAGUGAGAGGAGGAGGUAGGAGUGCAUUUGGGGCUUGAAGCGGUAGAGGGGGAUGAGGAGGGCGAGGAGGAGGGCUUUAAUGGCGGAGGAGAGAAGGGUGAGGGAAUUGUGGGGUGGUUUAGGGUUACGGUUGCGGAGAUUGAUGGGGAGAGAGGAGAGGAGGAGGAAGGGGAGGAGGGGGAGGGAGGGGUGGAGGGGGCCGACGCCGAAGGAGAGGAGGAGGAGCUUGAAGAGGGAGAGCCAUGAGAGGAAGAAGGCGGAGAUGCCGCGGAGGAGGAUGGAGGAGAAGGAGAAGGGGAGGAGGGGGAGGAGGGAGAUAACAGGGAGGAGCGCCGCGAGACGGGGGAUGCCCGCGGGGAUGCGGGACGCGGCGAAGCGGGCGUAGGACAUUGCCAUGGCCACGGUGACGGAGACCGUCGCGAGGGUCCGGAGCUCCGAGUAGUGAUCCAUGGAGUAGCCGAGAGAGAGAGAGAGAGAGAGAGAGAGAGAGAGAGAGAGAGGUGCAAGUGGCCAUGACCAUGAGAGGAAGAAGGGUUAUGCAUGGUUCACGUGGAAUGUACGUAAAAGUCAUGCAAAGAACGUUGGCAAUGAGAAAGUCAUUUUUGGUCGCAUAACAAUUAACAGAUUAAAAACUUUCACAUUACACAUAAAUAUGACAAAAUUUCAUAUUACUUCUGAUAAAUUUUUUUUGUCAUUUUACAUAUAUAGCAUAAGAUGAUUGAUUUAUAAUUAUAUAUUUUUUGACAUAUUUACUAUUAAUAAGAACUUUUUUUUUUGGCCACAAUGCUUUUGUGAGAAGAGAAAUUUUACCGGAACUGGUUAGAUGAGAUCGACAAAUAUAUAAUCUAUCAAAUUAUGAAUUUAACAAUGUAAAACAAUGGUCCUUAUAAAAGUUUUGUUAUUUAAAUUUUGUAUACUAUAAUGCAACAAAACAAUAGUUGAAAGUUCAGGAAUUAUCCCAAUGUGAGAUCACACAAUUCGCCGUCUAUCACGUGAAUGGAUGAACUAAAUAUUUUACUCCAUGUUCUUUCGAUUUUGUAGUAGAGAAUAAACAUGAUAUAUUUGAAAACAAUAAAAUUCGGAGCGUAAAGCAAUUAAAUAUUUAAAUUAAACAAAUGAUUCAGCACUAGAACAGGAACAAAUUAAAAUAACAAAAACAAACAUUAGGCCAAAAGUUUAAAUCAAAUUUGAUUCCAAUAAAUUAAAAUCACUGGAAUCAAUUUUUUUAAUUUCAAUUAAAACCAAACCCCAGAUUUAUAUUAACUGAGGUAAGGAUCAAUUGACCCAAGGCUUCUUCUUUCUCAACCUUACAAGAAUAAAUAUAUAAAAAUGCAUUCAAACUCUCUCAACAAUAGGCAAAUUCGGAAAUAAGCCCCUAAAGUAUAUCUGUAAAUUUUUUAUUGAGAUCCCUUAAUAUUUCACUUUUAAGAAUUGAAUAAUUAUAGGCAAAUAAAUUAAAAUUUUAAUUACUAAAUUGAUUGAUAAAUCUAGCAAAUAACUUAAUAUUUUAUACUACUUUAUAGCAAAUAAAAUCAAAUAGAAUAACUGCUAAUAGCUAUUAUUAGCUAUAAAACACAACUUAAUUAACUUAAUUUUUUUUUUAAAAAAAUUAUAGAGGUAUCAAUUAAAAAAAAAAGUUGGAGGUGUCUAAUUCAGAAGCACUUUUACCAAAUAAAUAUGAACGAACGAGUAUUACCACAAGCAAUUAAUCAAAGCUCCUCAUUUUUCCGAGGUGGGGCCCCCGGUCAACUCCCGGUUCGGUUAAUUCGGUUAACUUGAACCGGACCGGGUCGAGAGGGAGAGGUCAGAGGAGGCUUCGACCGGUCUCCUCCACGAAGGCGACCAUGGCCAUGCACUCCUCGAGCAUCCUCUCGUCCGUGCCCCCGCGAAACAACGGGGGCACGAAGAGCCACAGCCCCGUCCCCACCACGAACCCCACCGUUACCGGCGCCGCCACCCACCUCGGCGGCGCCGGCGCCGCGCUCCGCCGCCGCGCCCACCACCCCUCCGCCGCGGUGCAGAGGCCGUGGAGCGCGAAGAACGCGGUGACCUCCCCCGUGGGGGGCGCCGCGAGGGUGAUGUAGUAGAACAUGGCCUCGUGCAUGAGCCCGGAGACGAGGAACGCGGCGACGACCCCCGCGGCGCGGCCCAGGCGCGCGCGCACCGGGUGGUACACGGCAGGGCGGAGUGCGGCGGAGACCAUGAGGUUCCAGCGCCGUCCCCAGAAGUCGCCGAGGGAGGUGGCCAAGUAGGGCUUGUUCGCCUGCGGCUCGAGCUCCACGCCGAGCGCCCCGCGCGCGGCCGCGGCGGAGAGGGCGAGGAGGAGCUCCAGGGACACGUAGAUGUGGAAACAGAGGAUGCCCAGAAGAAGGUAGGGGCUCAUUCGGUCUCUGAAGCGGUAGAGGGACGCGAGGAAGGCGUAGAGGAGGAGCUUCGCGGCGACGGAGAGGAGGAAGAGAACGGUGGAGGAGGAGGAUGUGUGUUGUUGUUUUGUGUUGGUAAAGGAACGGAGCUUGACGGGGAGGGAGGAGGUGAGGAGGAAGGGGAGGAGGGGGAGGGAGGGGUGGAGGGGGCCGAGGCCGAAGGAGAGGAGGAGGAGCUUGAAGAGGGAGAGCCAUGCGAGGAGGAACCCGGCGGUGCCGCGGAGGGUGAUGGAGGAGAAGGAGAAGGGGAGGAGGGGGAGGAGGGAGAUGACGGGGAGGAGCGCAGCGAGGCGGAGGGCGCCGGGGGUGACGCGCGACGAAGCAAAGCGCGCGUAGGACAUUGCGAUGGAGACGACGACGGUGACCCUCGCGAGGCUCCACAGCUCCGACGGUAUCGCCAUUGUCGUCACCAUUUUAUUCUUUUUUCUUUUUUAUGAGUUCUUAUUUUUUCUCCUCCAAUACUAUGAAAUAGUUUUCCAGUGCGUUGACUUUUUACGCUAUUGAACCAAGGGGUACAUUGACUUUAGAGAGCUCAACAGAUUUGGAUCUUACAAUUUAUCCUUAAACGAGAGAAAGUAGUUGGGUGGACCUUGUCCACCACGUCAGCAAAGAAUGAAUCCAUAUUCUUACUCGUAAAAAUAAAAAUAAAAAAUGAAACACUAUUUUAAGUCAAAGAGUUCGUAAAAGAAAAUGUUAAUCAGGUAUUUUUGUUUAUAAUAAAAAAAACAUAAUAUUCUUGGAGAGUAUUAAUUUAUAUAAAACAAAUUCGUUAUUUAGAAAACAUUUUUUUUUUUUAUAAUUUAGUGUACAUAGUUUGAUUGGUACCUUUGGUAUUCGAUCACGAGAUCGAAUAUUCAAUCUCUUUUAUGAUUAUUGUAUUAAUGGACUGAGAUGAAUGAGAUGUAUGAUCUUGUUAACAAAUAAAUAAAUAAGUAAAUAGUUAGUAUUUACAAGUUAUUAGGGCAAUGAGUUGACUAAUUAGCACUGUAUUAUACGUAAAACCUUUCUUUAUGUGUACGUGGAUCACAUGGCUUCCUCUACUAGUCUGAAGGUCGACAUAAAAACCCAUUUUAUUUUUAAUUUUAAUCCUCAUCUCUUACCAUUUUUUUACAAAUUUUUAUUAGAUUAUUUGCUCGACCUCACAUUUCUUAUUUGAUAGUUUCAAUUUAACCAUUUAAAUUAUUUUAAAUAACAAUUUUUUAGUUAAUAAAUAUAAUCUACUUAAUUUGUGCUAUAUAUGAUAGGCACUUAUAAAGGUCAUGAAGCCCCCCCNAUGAUUUUUUUUAGUACAAUUAACACAGCCACUGUUAAUUAGUUACAAUAAAAUAUUUAAUUUAAUAAAUAAAAUAGGUAAAAAUAUACAUUGGCCUCGUCAAAGUAUAGGCCAAUUCAAUUAAUAUCUUUGAUUUAAUACUAUUUUAUUUAUUAAAUUAAAUAUUUUAUUGUAACUAAUUAACAGUGGCUGUGUUAAUUGUACUAAAAAAAAUCAUGUUUCAUAAUAAAAAUAAAUAAAUAAAUAAAAAGGUUCUAUAAAAAGAGAGUAAACGCACUCACUUUGUGCCUGAUCAUGUAAUGUCACUCCCAGCUCAGAAUAGCAACAACUCAGCUGGGGAUUAAUUGUUUAUCAUUUGAUAAUUUAAAAAGCUAGAUCAUUUAAAGACUCAAAUAAGUUUUUGUUGGCUUAAAUGGGCUAGCAUCAUGUCCUGUGACGAAAUGUUAUGUUGGGCCGAGUCAUGUUCGAAAUGGUGUGAGAUUGAGUGGGCCAAGUCAUGUUCGAAGUGACGUAAGACUGAUUAGGCCGAGUCACAGUUGAAACCCGUGGGCGCUGUAUUUGUAUGUUUUUAGUGACUUGGUUGCGUAUUUCUAACCGUUCGAGUUUUUGAGAUUAAUGAUUAGCGCCAAUAAUCUGACAAUUUUAAGUAGUGUGCAGCUCUAUAUAUUAAAAACCCAAAAAAUACUAUUAAAACAUAGCUUUAGACAGGCCUAACACAAUUUUUACUACUUAAUAACCAAUUUAGUUCCCACGUAAAGAAUAAUCAACUAAACCAAAAGAUGUAGUCAUUAAAGCCAAAACAACAAUUGUAACUCAAGUUAAUUUGUGGGGAAUUUUGAAUCCACCUUUCAGAUACACAUGUAUAUAUAUAAUUCACUAGCAUAUCUAAAUAUGAGUAUUGCUAGAAUACUAUCGGUAGUAAACGGCUCGAUUUACUAUUGAUUUAUUUUCGAUGAUAGAGCUUUCAAAUUGACGAUCGGUGCUGUUAAGCAUGAUCUAAAGUAUUUAAAUUACCUGAAAAUUAAUUUUUAUAUAUUUUCGAUAUUGUUCUUUUGUUCAUCAAGUGAACAGAAAAAUGAAUGAUUGAAAAUGGAUAUCCUUAAAAAAGUGAUGAUACAAUUUAUGUAUUUAAGAUCUAGAGUCUAGAUCUUAUUUUAAAUAGUUUAGAAAAUUUACUAACAAAAAUUUAGUCGAUUUGGACUUUUCUAUACUGAACGAGCGAACCAUAUCGGCCAUUAAAAUUACUGAUUUUGUGAUCCUUUGAUUGUUCAGUUAGUGAUGUCAAAAAAUUGAUUUCUAGAUAAUUUAGAUAGUCUAGAUCAUAUUAACAGUACUGAUUGUUCAUUUGGAAGCUCUAUCAUAAAAAAUAAGUCGAUAGUAAACCGAAUCGUUUGCUACCAAUAAUAGCUCAGCUCUCAAAAUAUAUACAAAAUGCAACGUAUAUGCAUCAUCUACCACCCACACAAAGGUAUCUUUAUGAGAUAGGGCCUUUCUGAUUGGCAUUCUUGUCGUGCUUUUAUUUUCUUAAGCAUAAAUUCUAUGUGAUUGAUCGAAUGUGUCGGUUGAGUGAAUUCAUGUUUUCGUUAGUUAGCUUGCGAUGUCUCUUAAUGCAAGUACAAUAACAAUAUCUCCUUUUGAGAAGCAAAAAUUUCACCACUCUAUAUAUAUCCAUGCUUUUUCUUGUUAAAUAAACUCCGUAGAGAUAUAGAUUGCGAGCAAACCGCUAACCACCACCACCGUGCACUCGAUCACAUAGAAUUUGUGUUUAAGAAAAUAAAAACAAGGAAAGCUCCAAAAACGAGGCCAAGCUAAACUAGCUAGUUUAGGCACUGUUACGUUCAUCGAUCCAUAGCCCCUUUAAUUAGCUCCUUAUAUAACAAGUUACAUGUAUUAGAUACCAAACCUGCAUAUAUGAAAAACAAAUAAUUAAUUACUAAUUGACACUAUUAUGCAACAAAUAUAUACGAGUCGAACUAGAAUAUUUUUAAAAGAUUCACUCUUGGAUCUAUUGGGCUAUUCCACUUACAAAAAAUGAAAGCACAUGAAUAAUAACAAUUUUAAAUGUACUACAAUACAAUUCUAUACUAUAUAUAUAUAGAACUAGACUGGAAUACUAUCAACAGCACUAAGCUAAUGGUGCUAUUAGAUUUUCGGCCAUUGGAUGAAAAAAUAUACGGUUAGUAAGAACGAUAUGAAUCCCUUAGGACUAAGUGAGUUACUGAUUUAAUAGUAUAAUUUAACGAAUGAAAAUAGUCAAAGGGUUAAAUCUAACAGCAAAAAACUUGAUAGAAUCAAACACUUGGUGCUAUUAUAGUAUUCCAGUCGGACUCUCUCUCUAUAUAUAUAAACCAUCUACUAUUCUAUCAACAAUAAUUAGAAUGGCGCCCUUUGUCCUACGAAAUUAUGUUGAAUGAUCAGAGAUCCAAACUAUGCACUACCUGAAGAAUCAAAUUUAAUUAGUAUGUUUUAUGUUCAAAAUUAAGACUUUAAAAUCGAUGGCAUUUUACUCUGUAAGAAUUUUCAAUUUGUUUGUUUUACAGUGUAAGUAGGACGAUCCAAAUUGAUUGAAUCUAGCAAAAUUAAAAAUCACAUUCGAACAAUCCAUCACGACGUUGAAAUAAAAAAUGCUAGCUAACCUUUAUUUUCGCCUAUUUAUUUGUGAUGGUAUAUUACGUAAUAAUUUUUUAAAAUUAUAAAAUAUAAUUUUGGGACAUUUGAAAUGAAUAAUGUUUCAUCAUUAUUGCUCAUUGGUUUUAACCAUUCGUAAUCGAAAAACGAUUUGAUAGGACGAAAGACGUUGAGAUAAUAUUGCGGUAGUGUACAGUUAAAUAAAUGAUUUACCGUGUUCAUCGUAUGUAGUCAUGCAUCUAAGUGGCUCCGCGGUCGGCGAGGGUGGCGGAGGAUUUGAGAAUCAGCUCCUCCGAGAAGCGGCGGCGGAGUUCGGAUUCUUGUCGCUGGAGCUUGAGGUGGUCGUAGUGCUUCUUGAUGAAGCUCUCCACCCCCACCGCCGCCUCGUCGAAAUUCCUACCAUCCCUCCUCCCUUCCCUACACGUCGCCGACUUCCGCAGCACUGCCGCCCCCGCCUCCACCCCCCUUUCCAGCCGCCGCUCCCACGUCUCGCUCUUCGUCAGCACCGGCCUCCUCGCCUGCUCCACCGCACUCUUCUGCACUAUCGCGCCCCACGUAUCGUCAAAGGACGCGUCAUCGACUGCAUCAUUCUCGGUCUCUGCGUACUCUGCCUGCAGCACCAUAGGGUAAAAUUAGCUAGCAUACUAUCUGCUUCAUUCAUUAAGUAAAUAAACAAGACAACAAAACUAAGACAAAUGCCUCAUCGAAAAAAGGAAAAGUUGAUAUAGUGAUUUUAACAGUUCAGAUUUUUAGAGACAUACGAUUAUUUCAUGAAAUGAACAUAUGUAGGUACGUACCCUUCUUGUCGAUUCUACGUGAUCCUCUUUUCUUGUCGAUUCUACGUGAUCUGAAGAGGAGUAAACUCUCAUCUUGAACUCGAACUCGGGGACGGACGGGACAUCGUGCCAGGCACCGUCGAUGUCGGGAGGAGGGAGCAGUGCUGGCGGUGGUAUCGGCGGCUCGUGGUCGAGACGGUGGUUGCUGGCGGCGGCGGUGGCGCCGGAGAGCCUCCAGACGGCGAAAAUGAUGAGGUUGGCGGCGAGCCAGCGGGCGCGAGGGGACGACCGGAGGACGAAAAGGAGGGAGUAAGAAAGGAGGAGAGCGGCGGCGGAGGAAACCACGAGCAGGCCAGCGAUCUUCGCGGCCCAGAUUGUGGUGCCGAGGCGGCUGCCUGCAGUGUUCUUGGGCCGAGAUAGAGUGCAGAAAGAUGUCAUGGCCUCCAUGCAAGUUAUGUGAGGUGAAAAUGGUCUCAAAUGGUAAUAGUGGGGAGAGAGAGCGAGUAAUACGUGUGUGUAUAUAUAUAUAUAUAUAUAUAUAUAGAGAGAGAGAGAGAGAGAGAGAGAGAGAGAGAGAGAGGGUUGUGGAGUAUAAGGUUGUUCGGUGGAUUUGGAAGGGGAAUUAAUAGGGGAGGAGGGGGUGAGUGAAUUGAAUUUGAUACCGUUGCCGCAUCCGUGGACUCCCCAAACACAUUGGCUUUUUAUAUUUUAAAAAAGAGAUAAUUAUCUAUAUACCCCUAAAAAUUUUAGAAAUAUCUUUUUAUUCCUUUUUUUUUUCUUUUUAAUAUACCCCUCAUAUGUUUUUUCAUUAUUUCAAAAUACCCCUACAGUUAUCAUCCGUUAAGUUAACUUGGAUUAAACAUGAGUUAAAUAUCUAUCACAGUUAAAAAAAAUUAAAAUACUAAUUUUGCUCUUAACUUAAGGACAAAUAAGAAAUGUUGGUAACGGUAAAAGAAUAUAUUUGAAAAGACCAAAAGUCAAAAUACUUUUUAUGUCCCAGACUUAAGAACAAAUGAGAGAAGUCAGUGAUGGUGGAAGGAUAUAUUUGAAAGUCUGAAACUUUUCAGGGUAUAUAAGCAAUUGCCCUUUUAAAAAAUUAAAAUAUUUUUAAUUUUUUUAAUAUUAUAAAAUAAAUGAUAAUAAUUCUAAUUAGGCAUAAAUGACUUGAUAAUUGGUGUCUGAGAUUUCGUAUUCUCAAAUCCGGCUCUUCUUAUAUAGUGAACUUUACUGCUCGUAUAUAUAUGAACAUGAUAGAGAAUUUUUUCUUAAAAAGAAUUAUUUAAGAUUUAUUCUCUUUUUCUAUUAUUUUUUUAAUUUUAUUUGAUCUUUUUGUCGUCAGGUGUUCAAAAAAGCUCUGUCAAUCUUCAUCACGAUCAUACUUAUAGGAGAGAAUUUCGGUCGUAGUUUGGAAUGGUAUUUUCGGUUAAUCCUACAGGAAGAACGGGAAUAUAUCUUAGUAUAGUGCUAUGCACGCUUCCGGAUUGAGUGGGUGUUCACUUCCUUUUCUUCAACAAUUUUAGGAUUUUUCUUCGAGUUGUUUCAUAUUUCUAGCAAAAUAGCUUGCUAUCGUUUUUCGAAAAAAAAGAAAAAUACCCUAGAAUCUUUAACGCCGAUUUUUAUUAUUUUUUUACGCUGUUAGACGAGAAAAAAUAUAAAAUAUUUUAAAUUUUUUAGAUUCUUCGAAACAUGAAAGUGAAUGUGCUCGUACAACUUAAUUUCAAAUUAGUCCUCAUAUAUAGAGAGUUCUGAUACAUUAUUAUUAUUCUUUAUUAAAUUGAAGAUGCCUGUAGAUCAAACACAUAUACAUAUAUGUUUUAUUGUGUGAAAAACAAAACAUUAGUUAUAUAUUGUUCUUCAAGUCAAAUUAAACUAAUAAGCAUCUUCACUAAACCACUAUCCACAUAAAGGAGUGUGUUAACUAACAUGUACAAGAACCAAAAUGAUACAUAUAUAUAGUUUUGUCCCAACUUGAUAGUAAAGCAAUCAAGUGAUGUGUAUCCCAUUAUUGAUGGUCCAUCACAUGAUCCCAACCAUGAUUAAUUUAUUUACAUGAUCACCCCUUGAACAUUAAAUCUAAAUAUUUAGAAGGCCUCUUUCAUACACAAAACUACAAGAAAAAGUACCUCUACAUGAAGAAGAUCAUAUUAAGGAAACAUAUAUAAUAAAAGUAUUAUUAUUUUCUCUAAUUUCUGUCCCCUAGUACAUGCAUGUACCAACCUUUAUUUAUAUACAAUCAUUCCAAAUUGCCCAAACCACAAACUUUGUCCUACUUACUCUAAUAACUUAUCCAAUUUCUUUUCUUUUUUUCUUUUUUUAUCAUCCCUGUUUAAUAUAGUUGGUUGAUAUUUCGAAUGCUGAUCAUCAGAAAUUUAAUCCUUCACUAAUAUAUUUAUUAAUAGAGUGAUCGAGUUUGCAACUUACGCUUACUCUGAAAAGGUAAUUUGGAUGAGGCUUUAGGACUAGUUCAAAAAACAGGGGAAAAGAAAAAGGAGAAAAUUUUCUCCUUGUGAAUUUAAAACAACCGUUGUACUCUAAAAGCUUAAGCUGUUAGAGAACGGUAUUUUAAACAUUUUUAUAUUUAACACUUUCCCUCCUUACAUCUGGGCUCGAGACUUUUUUUGUCGGCCCAUGACGUGAGCUUGAAUUAAAUGGGAGGAAAUUAAUAUGCUAGGAGCCUGGCAUGACUCGAACUCAGAACCUGCUGCUCUGAUAUCAUGUAAAACAACCAUUGUACUCUAAAAGCUUAAGCUGUUAGAGAACGGUGUUUUAAACAUUUUUAUAUUUAACAGUGAACCCUAAAAUCCAAAAAUUUCCUCAUCUCAUUUGGAGCCCAUCUCAUAUUGAAUAUGUAAAGCACUAAAAAGAUUCUCUUCCUCCUCCCACUUUUACCUAUUUUAUAUAGGUAAAAAAUAUAAUGGGACACCCCAACUAUGUAUAUACCAUUUUUUUAAAAAUAGAACUUUCAACUAAUUUAUUUAUUUAUUUUUUAAAAAAAUUGAUUCUAUCCACUUUUCAAAUUUGAGUUGUCAAUUUGCUAAAACUAAUGGCUCAGUUAGCUAUCAUCGGUUAAAGAGUUUAUAACAAUCAAAUUUAAUAGCAUCACAAUUAAAUGUAAUAACACUUUCAAUUUUAUUCAUAUAUAUAUAAAAAGAAGAUAAAAGUCUAAGAAAUAUUAACAUGGAAAGGUUGAGGUACCAGUUUCAGAAGAGCACCAGAUAUGAAAAAUUAGGUAGUUUUCUCCAUGGCUAUCUAAAGCAAAUUCUGAUUUAUAAAAAAAAUUAAAUCAUUUUUUUUAAGAUAUGUUUAAAAAUUAACAUAUAACAGUGCAUCACAGAGGCCUUUUAAUGAGUGUACAGCCACAUAGCAGCAACACUACAUCAUCUUUAUCACAAGUCAAUCAAAACUCUCCUUUCAAAAAAAAAAAAAAAGUAUAACAAAAAUAUAUAUAAUUUUUUAAAUUAUGAUGGGAUAAGUGAACUUUACUCCCCAGACGAACAAUUUAAUUGAUUAAGAACAUAGAUGUGGUGAUAUAACCGUCACAUUUUAGACAUUUUUAUCGCCGGUGCGGCGAGCGGCUGACAAUUUUGGAGGUUGCAAGGAACCACUACAAAUAACAAAAGUUUUUGUAGGGACGAGUCAUCAUUUCUUUUCCAAAAAAAAUAUUAAGAAAAAUACUUUGCGCACUUAAAAAAGUUUAAUAAUAUUUUAUUUACACUAAUCCGGUAGAUUUUUAUCAAUCACACAAUAAUUUUCGUAACUUACACUAACUAAGAAUAUGAAAUUAGGCUUAAAUACUUCUAAUUAGGGGUGGCAUUCCAGCUCGCUGUUCGUGAGCCAGCUCGUGUUCGGCUCGAAAUGAGCUCGAGAUCGGCUCGCUCGUUUAGUAAACGAGUCGAACACGAGCUGAAUUUUUCAGCUCGUUUAAUAAACGAGCUGAACACGAGCUGGGGUCAGUCGCUCGGUGUUCGGCUCGAUAACAGCUCGAAUACAUAUAUUUUAUAUUUAUAUAAUUUAUUUAAUUAUAUUUUUUAUAAUAAAUAAUAAUUAUAUAUAAUAUAUAUUUUUAUUAUUUAAUUUUUAGCAAAAUAAAAAUAUAAAUGCGAGUUUAAUUAUAAAAAAACUCAUUUAUAUGUAAAGUUUCAACUAUUAGAUCAAAGUCUAAUGGAUAAGAUUUUAUAAAUUUAUUUUUAUAUAUAUUUAAUCUAAUCUUUUUUAAUUUAUUGUUCGUUAGCCAGCUCGUGAACCAGCUCGUGUUCGGCUCGUUAAUAAACGAGCGAACACGAGCUGCAUUUUUCGGCUCGAUACUUUAACGAGCCAGCUCGUAUUCGGCUCGUUUAAUAAACGAGCCGAACACGAGCCGACUCCAGCUGCUCGUGGUUCGGCUCGUUUACACCCUACUUCUAAUAACACAAGUCAUUGAUACUAUUAGAUUUUUUGUUCUUAAAUAAAGAAAUAAAGUAAUCCCUUAAGAUUGAGUAGAAUUAGUUAAAUAGUAUAAUUUAAUGGAUGAAAAUGACCAAAGAUAUAAACCUAACAGUAAAAAAAUUUAGGAGGUAUUAAAAGCAUCGUAGAUGGACUGACGAAUGUGCAGCACUUCGUUUGUCACUGAAUUUUAAGAAGUUUUGUUGUGGGUCCCAUGGAAGGUUCCGGAAAAAAUAAAGCUGUGAAAUCGUUUGAUAUGGCCGGUGCCUUUGGAUAGAAGAUUAAUUGGAGGAGGUGGGGAGAUGGGGAGAGUAUGGAGGACAUGGAAAGGUUGCACGCCAAGCACCAUUUUUUUUUGUUUUGUUUUUUUGGUUUUUUUUUGUUUUGGGGCCCCUCCAUUUCUAUCAUGAUGUAUAUGAAUCCUUUGUUGAUCCCCUCUCUUUCUACUAAAGGUCGCAAUAGUGGGACUUACAGUGCUUUUGUAUGUGUUUCUCUCUCAGCUUCUGUCCUCGUGCAGAGCACACUAAUAAAUACAGAAUCGUAUAACCCGAAUAAAAAUUCAUAAUAUAUCAUAUAGAUAUUUCAAGAGAAAUACGUACCAUGGCAUUAUAUGUAUAGAAGUGGCAAAGGACUUGGUGAUUGGUACCCGAGAUCCCAAUUUGCUAAUUUUAUUUCUAAAUAAAAUAAACGAAGCGCGGGUAGCGUGCUACCUCUCUCUCUCUCUCAAAAAAAAAAAAAAAAAAAACGAUUCUGAAUGAGCAUUCAAGCUUGAAUUUACAAGAGUGCGCCGCCGCAUGUAAGCCAAGUUCUUUUAAUAUUCUAGAAUAUACAGAGAGCAGAAUUGUUAAUGUGUUAGCAAAUUCACAUAUUGUUUUGAACUGUAGGAAUAAACCAACAACACUUGCAGCAAGUGUUUUCUUCUGUAGAGCCAAAUCAAAAGAUAAAACAACACAUAAUGCUAUAGGCAUAUACCUAUUAAGAGUAUAGAUCUUUUUGCCAUUUCUGUAUGAAAGGUAGGGCCAUUGUGGUCUAAGCAUAACCAUUAUUAUAUUGUGCAACAAAUAACUCAUCCAAUACUUUGGGUAUUCUCUUUCUACUUUAAUAAAUUAUAACAUACCUUCAUUUUGAUAUUCAAAAGGUUUUCUCUAAUGAAAUGAGAAACAAUGACAUUAUGAGACCAAACAUAAUUUGUUACACAAUAUUCUAAAGAGGUGGUUAGAUUGGUUAUUAGUGCAAGUACCAGCAAAAGAACCAUGGAAUAUAAUUUGAAAGCACAAACUUCUUUAAUGGAACUUGAUAAGAUAGAAUAUCAAUUAGUACAUAGUUUAGCUUCACUAAAGACGACGCUAAUGGACAAAGAGUCAAAGAGAACUGUACUGCUUCAAUGCCUUAAUACUACUUCACCAACAAAGUCCCAACAUCAUGAACUUCUAUGAGUGUCUAAUAUAAUUCAGGUUAUAAUCUGCUUUUCUAGUUGAUCAUUGUCCACAACUUGCAACCCCCAACAUCAUGAGCUUUUAUAGUGCUAAUAUAAUUCAGGUUAUAAUCUGCUUUUUCAGUGGAUCAAUGUCCAGAACUUGCAACUUUCGGAAUUACUUUGGCUUCUUCAACAACACAAAAAAAAAAAGGGUGAUGUUUAGCAAAGCAAAACUUUCUUAUUACGCGACCCUACUCCAUCCUAUACUGAAAUACUGUCUUAUAACCCAACAACACUCCAUUACGGUAGUAAAACUUUAUUAUGACUUUGACCAGUGACUAAAGAAGGAAUAGUUAAUUAUCAACUCUUAUUAAACAACAUUUCUAGCAGUGCCAAAUUGAGAUAAAUAAUGCUGUCAAAAUAUGUAGUUUCAAAAAGAGCAAGUAAAAUUUUCUAAGGUGGGACAUAAGAGUGCUAAUAAUGCCUAUAAAAAUAAAUCACUUGAAUCAAUCUCCACCCCACAACUGCAACCACUAUCAAUGAUAUUUAAAGAGAAUGAUAGAACUUAAAAAAAGCUCAUGUAGCUUAACGCUAUUCAGAUAAUAUCAAAACAAACAAGGAACUACAAGUCGAAUUUUUUUUCGAAGAAUAUUAAACACAAAAGUAGCAUCCAUCCAUUUGGUGAAAAUAGCUAAACAGGUGAGACCUAAGAGGAAGGUAUGCAACUAAUUCAAUAAUUAGUAGCAACUUUAUUGACUAAUGCUCACUCCACACUUAAAAAGAAUAUAAUGGACAUAAUUGGCAUUAGAACAUCUCCAUAAUUGAUGUAGAUCACUAGAUUAGCACACAUGACACUUAAUCUUGGAGGGCCCAGAUAUUGGAAAAAGGUUGUGUUGAUAGAAAACCUAUAAUGCUCUUUCGCCUUUCAAUACUAUAAUAUAUAACAAAAUGUCAGGACCGCGAAAUAUGGGUUCAACAUGAAUGGACAUACAACAAGGAUCAAUUCAAAUGAAAGAGGACUAAUGUACGAACAUUAUUUAGGAGGAAUCCGAAGGUAAACCUUUGCUAUUUAUCAAAGUGAUACUUGAAUUCUACUGAUAUACAUAGAUAUGGAAAGUUACUGAUAUCAGAGGAAUCUCCUGAAACAACAGAAAAUAUGGGGCCUACAAAAAGUUCCUAACUUCUUAUGCAUAAAAUUCUUUAAAUUCACUUACAUUAUAACUUUACUUUUCAAUUUUUUUUUUUAAAAAAAGAAUCAGAUAUAUUAAAUAUUAACAAAUAAAGAAUCAGAUAUAUGAAAUUCACCAAAGUAACUUCUCUAAAAAAAGAAAUAAGUCUGAACACCAAAGAACAGAGAUCAGGGUCUAGUUAUUGGGCAAAUGCACUAUUUUUUAUUUUUUGGAAAAUCUCAAGCAGAAGCAUUGUCAUUUACUAGUAGAUCAUAAAAAAAAAUAUGUUGCAUUAUGAAGAUAUUGACAUGGAAUUCAGAGAUUAAUUCUAAAGGGACCCUGCACUUUCAACUGUAGGAUUUUUUUAUCAAUACUGCUUUGACAGAGUGGAUUCUUCAAAAUUUGAAAGGCAAAAUGUAUGGAGACCACUCACCUCUAGGCCAUUCUGAAAUGGACCCCUUAAGUUUUGACCUUUUUGAUUGACACCCUAACUUCUAUUUUUUUAAAAAAAUUAAUUUUUUACAGUUAAUUAAGAUAAAAUUUUGAUUGAAUUUCAUAGCUUAAUUUGCUAUUAUCAACAGUUAACUAAUCUAAUAUUAUUCACCACAAAGUAGUUUAAACUAUUAAACUUGAUGAAAUUAUCAAUCAAUUUGGUAAAAUUCCCAAUUUAUUUGGCUAAAAAAAUCACUUCUAAAAAAUCAAACGUUUGAGAGGUCCCAAUAAAAAAGGAGAAAAUAUGUAGUUCAGGGGUUUGUUUCAGAAAGGCCUAUCAUUGAGGGGGUCUCCAUACAUUUUUACCAAUUUAAUAUUUUCACCAGUGGAAACCACGUGGGUGGGACCAAAACCCCCAACGGUCACAUACAAAUAUGGCAACGCUCCCCUGAAUUCAAAUCAAAGCAAAUCCGAAAUAAACUCCCCAUUCCUUUUCAAAGAGACCGAAUUUCAUACCUACCAACUGAAGCUCAUAUUUUAGCAAACCCCUCUGCAUCCAUUUCAAUGAUCAAAACACUGAAGAAGCUCAAAAUCUGGUCUAAACUGAAGAGGAGAAAGAAGAAUAGGAAGCCCAACACACUUACCCAACCAGCCGAUCCCUCCUGCCCCCGCUGCAAUUGCCCAGUAUGGCCGUGGCCUGAACCCUCUGCUCCGCCUUUGCCACCGUUUGUGAACCUUGUGAACUCUGCCGAGGCGACCCCAUUCUCGGAGAUUACUCCUCUGUAUGCUUCUUCAUAUCAGCGCUACUUUGUUCCGUCUCCCACGUACGGAAUGCCGAUCCAUCAAGAUGCUGUUCAGAAAGACUUUGAUUCAAGGCUUGGUAAAUGUGUUCGCCGGAUUGCUGCAUUGGUAACCAGUUGUUUCAGUUAUUGUCUUCGUUAGUUCCAUGAAUUCCCUCAAAUUCGGCCUUUUCUCCAUUUGUAUAUUGUUCUAGACUGAAAAAGCACUUUUGCAAAAGCUCCAAUCAGGCCCACACAUGCCAUUAUUUUUAUUUCUUUUUUGAAAAAAAAAGAAUUAGGAGGUUCGUGAUAAGAACUGAAUACUGCGCUUUAAAACAAAAUCGCAGGAUUCAUGAGUCUAGAUGAUUAAUUUUCUCAUUCAACUACUUCUGUAACUUAAAAAUGUUGCGAGCAUGCUGACUAGAAUGUCCUUGAGUAUUUCCUGAUUUCGUAGGAUAUUGAGGUGAUGGAAACCAGGUACUUGUUUAAAGUUGAACUGCGGGGGAUCAUCUUCACGCAUUCUGAGAGACUGUUAUAGUAGUUCAACAACUGCGCCAUCGCAGCUUUUAGAAUUUCCAUUCCACAUGAAAGAUUGCUAAAUGAAGUAAUGACAUCUUUAUGCAUUGCCUCUAGAACGGCUUUCCACCGCAUUGCAAAGUCCUUCACCAAAGGUUCAACAUCAGCAAUUGUUGGACUUCCUGUGAAGGAAGUUGACUCUUCAUCUGGGAACAUGCAUGAAUAUCACUGAGUCGCUGUUUUAAGAAAUAAAGGUUCAUGAUAAAUGGAAAUAGUCUCAGCUUUACCGUCGUAAGCCUUCACAAACUUGAUCAGAUCAGUAAAAUGCUCCGAAAGCAAUUCCUCCUGCAUUAAAUGCAGGAGUAAGAGGAAAAUUCAAACAGUAAAUUUCGGAAAAUUCAAUAUCUGCUCAAACAAAUAACAAGUUGAAGGCAUCAACUACAGGAUGAAGCCAAUCUACAAAUAGCCAAUGAUCACAAAAGAAAGUUCAACAUGAUUAAUUUUUUUUAACAUUUUUUUACCCCCAUUAUAAAUUUCAGAGCAGUUAUGCUAACUAAAAGGGUUUUGUAACAUCUCCCUUUUCAUACUGUACUUCAGGGGUAAUACACACUGCUCCUCACACCUUUUCUUUUUCUUUCUACUAUCUGAAAAAGCUGAAAUUGCAAAAAGUCAGCAACAGCCUCGCUUUAUUAACAUUUAUGAUGUGGAUGAAUCCUCGAUUUUAAACCAUUGACAAAGGGAAUCUCCUUUUCAACAUAAAUAAUCUAUAGAAUUGACUUAGUUAACCAGGUAAUUUAUCAUAGAAGACUUACUAAUGCAUUCAGCAUGUUAGACAAGACAACUCACUUCACCUAAGGCAUCAAAAAAUUAGUGAAAUAAAAAGUUCAUGGCAAAAGUUUAUGCAUUAGCUCGCCUCAGCAGAGAGAUGGAAAUUAUGAUGACAGAUUUGGAAAAAGAUGGUAGUAGCACUUGUUGCUAUCUUCAGAAGUAUCAAUAGUAGCUGUGUAAACCUUUAGGGGAAAUGAGUUGUAUUUAUCAAGCAGAAUGGAAAUUGUAGAAAUUAUUUCCAUUGCUUCUGAUACUGGCCAAUAUAGCUAUCCAUAUAUAGUUGGACAAAGGAGCACAGUAUUGUGGGUUAUUAGGUUUUUACCACAAACAAAGAAAUAUUGCUUUCAAGCUUUUCUUCAAAGAAUGUUGGAAUUUUUCCAAUGUCACCUGCCUCCUGCAAAGAACACACCAUAUUUAGACAGGACGAUUACUUAUUAGGUGUUAGAUAAAACAGCAAAGAGACAAAUGAAAUGUAGCAGAGUUAUGCACUUACCUUCAAGACAGCUAUAAUCAUAUCAUAGUUAUUAAGAAGGAACAAAGCUUGUGAUUUUGGUAUUCUAAAUCGUUCGGCCAGCCUGACAAGUAGGUUAUCAAUUGCCAUAUGCAAUUGCUCCAAGUUCAUAUCAAGCUACAAGGAUCACAUAAGAAAUAUAAAGGUAUAGUCAAUUUGCUACAGCAUACAUAAAGCAAAGUGAAGCUACUCAGAAUUAUCAGUUCGCGGUUUCAGAUAGUUAAGCACUUAGUGAUUCUGUAGUGCCAUAUAAAGUAAAUCUUAAAAGGCAAGUCUUCUUCAAAAUAAUCUCAUAAAAUCACAUGGCUUUUCAUUAACGGUCAACUGACCUGAUUAUUUCCAUAUUCUACAUUGAGCUGAAUAAGGGAGGCUGCAAACUCAGCAUAGCACCGUAUUGCAUAGUGUGGGUGAGUGUCAUCCUCCCAUAAUGUUUUGACAUCACAAUUUUUCAGACAUUGCAGAUGCAUAUCAAUUACUUUCUUGAAACAUGGCCAAAGGAAAAUAUUGACCUGACAAUUAUUAGAAUGUGACAAUUGUUAAUCUUUAAGUACAUGAGAAAGUAAGGUUAAACAAAGAAUAUUGCCAUGAAAACAUACUAAGAUAAGUAAGAGAAAGCAAAUUAACAAGAAACAUAGUUUCUUCAAAUCUUCUAGUCAAAUGACUUCGGACGAGAGAUGGAAAAAUGAAGAUGUUUUGGAUGGACCAUUUGGUAACUAAAAACUGAAUUACCCUAGUGCUUUUGAAAUGAGAUCCCAAAUCCAUUUGUACUUGCCUUUCGUCCAACCCAUGGGGCUGCGAAGAAGCACUCACAUCACAAUAUCACAUGGAAUGCAACACAAAGUAGUCAUGAUGACACAAGGCCUUUCCUGUAAUGAUGUGCAUUAAGCUGCUAGGAUGGAUCUUGGACAGAAGAUGACUAGCAUGAGAUAUGUGGAUAGAUCUAAUGUUUUCUCCUGAGGAUCCCUCUCUUUUAUUAUGCUUUGGAUUGCUCUCUAUCGGUUCUGGGUCUGCUUAAGAAUAGGAACAGUAGCCUCAUCAAAUCCCCUGAUGGAUCCGAGUCCAGAAAAGAGCCAAAGUUUACAAAAUUUAGAAAUGGCAAUGUUAAAUCCUUUGUAACUGAUGGCUGAUUGCUAGAUAUUCUGUACUUUCUGUUUUCAGUAUUCUGACAUAGGCAACCUAUUAAUUCAACAAAUUGAUUGAUAAAUAGUAAAGAGUCGAUGGAUUUGUACAAAUGUGUACAAAUGCAAUCCGAGUGGAGUAACCUUUCAGCCUGCGGAGCCAUUAAUCAAAACUAACCAGAUGCCGAAGCAGCCCUAAGCCCUAUCUAAAUGGAUUGUACUUGAAGCAAGCUAGAAUGAAUGAUCAUGGAUAAAUUGAACUGCCAAAGAUUUGCUUUGUACUUUUACAAUUCUCGAGAGUCUUGCAGUUUUCAUUGCAAUCAAUUUGACUUCCAAACAAACACAAGACUCACUUAGCACACUUUGUUAUCAAAUUUGACAGCAUAUUAAACAUAUAUGUGCUGCUAACUUUGGUGCCGUUCUAAUUUCAACCAAACAAUUCAGUUUGGACAUAAUUCUGAACCUGGAAGGGCUAUAUUCUGAACCUACAACAACAUAAUAUCUGAUGAAGAGCAAUUGAUGCAAGACGCAAAUCAAAUUUUCUUUUUGUACACCAACAAUUCCUUGCAAACCAUGACUUCCAGCAAAUUGCAAUCUAAGAAAAACACAUUACUUAGCUCAGUCAUGCCAAGUCCGUGGUAGAAGGUGGCAAGUAGGUUAUCGUAGUGAAAUUUUCUGUAAAUAUAAAAGAGUGUCGUUGCAUUUAAUUUUGCUUUUAACUCAAUCCCGGGAGCAUUUCAUAAAAAAACUUUCUUAUGAUUCAAGAUAAGAUUGAUGUCCAAUAUGAGUCAAAUUCAGGUAAUAUUUAGUGGUGUUUUCGACAGUGAACAUUAAUUGCAUUUCCAGUAUUGUUGAUCCUAACCUUAUCAAAGUACGAAUCCAGACAAGGAAUCCGCCUCCUGGACAUAAUUACCUGAAACAGAGAGAAUUAUAAUAUGCACACACAUCAUAAGAUAGAAUUUCCGUUACUAUGAAAGACAGCUAUUUAAUAAAGCUACAAGAUCUACUAAACUGGCCUCAUUAACCAACCACCAGUCGUAGGGCUGUUCUAAAACACAUGUAUAUUUCUAGCUCUCUUUGUAAAACUCUGUUCUAUAAUAGCAUUCCUCCACCGUAAGAAGUUAUAAAGAUCAAUAUAUCAUAAAGAUGUAGGAAACAUGUAAAUCAUGAAGAUCACAUGCAAAAGAGAACAUUCAUCUGAAACUGGAUGAACUCAAAAAGAAAAGAACAGAUUUUCUGAAGUAAAUACCAUCAUGAUUUACGAGUAAUAGUUAGAUUCAAAUGAAAUAGUUGACAAAAAGAAUUAGAAUCAAGAUUUCUUGAUAUCCAUGUACAUAUGAGGUAAUCUCAUAAGAUCUCAACAGCAAUACAAACAAAUAUUAAGCAGCAAUUGUCUACAUUCAAGAUAUAUAAAACUGAUAUGUUCUCUUGAAAUUUCAUGUAACUGAUAGCAAUCAUGGUUCAUUAGCAAUAUAAUGAUUAAAAUCCUAUGCACCUCAUUUUUAGGCAUGAACAUGUACAUAUGAGGUAAUCUCAUAAGAUCUCAACAGCAAUACAAACAAAUAUUAAGCAGCAAUUGUCUACAUUCAAGAUAUAUAAAACUGAUACGUUCUCUUGAAAUUUCAUGUAACUGAUAGCAAUCAUGGUUCAUUAGCAAAAUAAUGAUUAAAAUCCUAUGCGCCUCAUUUUUAGGCAUGAACAUGUAACCAGAAUUUUUUCUGAUUGUUGCAGAACUUUGAAUUCAUGAGUGCAACAUAGAUACAGAUCAAACUCCAAAUUUUAGAAAAAUAGAUGUGUGCAGAAACACAAAAUCAUAUAGAAUAAUGAAAAUAGAAUAGAAUUGCAAAGAACAAAAAAAAGAAAUGAAACGACAAUGAAAACUAAACAUAGAAAAUUUAUUGAGAAAAAAAAGGCUUGUCAGCUUUUUUACCUUUGAUUUUUACGCAAGGAUUAAAGUGCCCAUCAACACAGGCUAUAUCCACCAUGUCGUAUCGUGCCAACAAGAUAUUGACACGAUACAGCCCUCGUGCCGAUGGCACAACUCAAAACCCUUUAUUCUUGAAAUUUGUAAGUAAUUUUCUCAAUAAAAUUCAAAAGAUUUGAUAAAAAUACAUAAUAAAUAAUUGGCAUAUUUUGUUGCUAAAGAAAAUAAAUAUUUCAUGCCAUUACGUGUCGGCACACAUAUAUUGUUUGUGACGGGCGCGCAUCGGCAUGGCCCAGUAUGCACCAUGCCGUACUGUGCCGGUAAGUUUCCGGCACGACCCCACCCCACGGCACUUAAAUUCUUGUUUUUACAUAUUAGGGCAAAAAAGCAAGAAAUAAACCCAAUAUGACUUUGCUAAAAUCAGCACCAACAAUACCUGGUGCUUCCGUGUUAUGCAGAUCAUAAGCAUUAAGCAUAUCGCAUCAUAACAAUUUGGAAGUACUAGUUUCAAAUGUUCAUCAAUAACUGUGAAAGCUCCUGAAAGAAACAGCAGACAUAGGUAAAUAUUGUUUUAUUCUUAAUAUAUGAAUUAGAGUAGACGCUUUCCUUCAUUAUGAAAAUCAUAUACAUUAGAUUAAAUUGUUUCCUGGAAUAUGAACCAUCCUGUCUUUUCACGUGCAUCUACAAGUUACCUGCAAAGAUUUCAUACAAUAGUGAUGCUUCUCCAAAAAAGGCCUCAAGAAAAAGGUACCUGAAGAGCAAACAAAUGCAGAGCAAACAAAAGCAUUAUGCAGCAAAACAUCAGUGAGUGGUCUUGUUAUUAGAAAGCAUAUAAAGUUUUAGUUCAAAAAAAAAUAAAUACUCUGAACAGGAUGUAUCUAUCAAAAGCUUGUGUAAGCUCCUAAAGAGAGCUUCGUAUGGAUAUCUUAAAGCAUUGGCUUCUGAUAUAUGUGGAACCAAAGCCGGUUGAUCAACUUCCUGAGAAAAUUAAAAUGGAAUCAUAAUCUUUAAGAGAAAAUUAGUAAGCUGCUCCGAAUUAUAAAUGGCUCAGAAUCAAAUCCAAUUAAAAAAAAAAAUCUGUUGUUCACAUUUCUAAUAAGCACAGUCAUGGGAAUUUUAUCUAAAUAGAUACAAUCAUCCUCUAGUAAGGCAAAGCAGGCUAGCAUCUACUCUUUGUGUUCUAUUUCAAUUGUGUUCCAAAUUGCAAGCAUUUUGGCCUACAGUUUAUUGUGAAUGAGGAAAUCAGAGAAGUGAGAUUUCUUAUUUCGAAGCCAGCAGCCACUAGAGACAAUCCUGAAAUGAUCUAGAGAAAUGAGAAAGUUAGAACCUUAGAGCAAUUUUCCAUUUGGUGACUCUUUCUGCAUUGGAGGUGGAACCAUCAAUUUGCAAGCCCAAGAUAUUUUGACACAGCACACAGCAAUGACACUAAAUUAAAUUGCUACAUGUUCCCUUUGAAACAAUGGCCUCCACAUAGUUAAUUUCAUAUCUCUUUUUUUUUUUCUGGAGGACGUUGUCUCAAUGAUUUAAAAUAACAAUGUAACUCGUGCAGCCUAUGAGUUAAAGCUCCAAAAACUCACGAAAAGUCAAUGAUAUGAAACACAAUGGCAACAACCAGUAAUGCUGUCCACUCAAUUUCUAGAUAUAGAUAGAUUGUUAGGUAAGUCUUCAGUAAGAAUAUUCAACAAUUCAUUCAAAUGCAAAAUAAUGGUAUUUAAGAAGCGUAAUGUUUUAUAGCAGGGAAUGAAAGGCAAGAACAAUGGCUGCUUAUCCAAAUUCAAACUUUUAGUGGAGACCACCCAAGAAAUAUUUCAGAAAAGAAAAAGUGACUCAAAACAGGGAUUGAAAUCAAGUUAAUAGAGGUUUGGAAAUUAAAAUUAGAUGGCCUAGUAGAAGGACAUCAAAUUAAUAAUGAACAUUUCUGAAAUCUUGACUUUUUGAAAGUGGUGAAUCAUGACUGUUUUAUUCUAUAGAGGAGAAAUGAGAAUACUAGUAACCAAAAAGUACUCAUUAACAGCCUAGCCAAGAGAAGUGUAUGGAACAACUCAACCAAAUGGUAAUAGUUAUAUACCUUCAAAAUGUUUAUCCUCUCCCCUAAAGCAAAGAUUGAAGAACGUUUUUGGGAAUGUUCCUGCACUCUCAAAAGAACACCCAAGCUUUUAGAGUCACUUCCAAAUAAAUCAUUUGGUGUUGCCAUAUUCAUCUGCAGUCUCUCAAGUGCUUCUAUGUAGACAAAGAAAUGCACACUCAACACCUAGAAAGUUGGAGAAAAUUACAUCUGAAUUACGAAACAAUAAGAUUAAAAUAACAAGAUUCCUCAGUCCAAAUUAUAUAAAGAAUGCUGGUAACUUUAAACUUUCACAGUACGAACAUUAUUUUCUUGAACUUAGUAUUUAAGUUCCCAAAUACAGGUGCAUACAUGUAUGCUGCAAAUUCUCAUGCCCAUGCAUGAGUAUGACUGCAUGGUCAAUUUGUGUUCAUAUAUAUAUAUAUAUAUAUAUAUAUAUAUAUAUAUAUAGAGAGAGAGAGAGAGAGAGAGAGAGAGAGAGAGAGAUGAAGAGGCGGAGGGAGAGACAUAAGAACUAUUAUGGUUUUAGAAGAACAAAAGACUUUGUCUUCCACUUCAUUUUUUAUGAUCGGGCUUCCACCUAUGUCAAACAUGAUCUAGAAUAUUUCAAGCAUCUAGGAUACAACUUCGCGGCUCCUAAAAAUUUUAUUCCAGUGCAUCAAUACAAAACAAUCUUGCAAAUCCAUCCGCCUUAAAGAAAAAUAGAAUGUAAUUCUUCAAUUUAAGAUCAAGAAUAUAGAUAUCGAUCAAGAUAACACUAAGCUUUUGCAAAAAAAGAUCAACUAAUGUGAAUUCUUCUACAUCGUUAAAUAAUAAGCACUUCAUAUCCAGUACUAAAACUGAAAAUUGAAACAUAAUUAUCACCACCAAACAAGCAUCAAAAGAAGAAUAUAGACUUCAUUUAGAAUAGAAACACAAAAACUGUGAAAGCAUGCUAGUUAGAGGCUUAUUAUGCCAAUGGCACAUAGAUGGUGUAUGUUUGCACAGCAUUGCAUGACAUAGCAUGGCACUGUACGGUGCCAAACUGGGCUUGUCGCAUCCCCUGUACCAGCACUUAAAUUCUUGGUUAUGACUACUAGUGGCAACAUAUGCAAGCUACUAUAUAAUUUGACUUCUCUCCAAUGAAUUGGUUUUGACCUAUAGUCAAACCAAAAUAAACUCAACCGCAGGUUACAACAGAUGCAACCUACAAAGAGCUUAUUUCAACUUGAACAUGAUCACCAUUAUGUUAUCUUCUCUUCUUUAAAAUCCCUUGGCAUUUCUAUUUAAUUGUCUAAAGAGAGUACAAGGCAUAUUGAAGUACUUGUAGGAAAUCCGUAUUCUACAUUGAGCACAGACUAAAUUAGGUGGUAUGCAUAUAGACAAUAGAGAAUGAAGAAGUUGCAUAUUUGAACAUUUACCUUGUUCAUCGUAUCAAUAUAUGCUGCUAGAAUAUCUGGAUAUUUCUCUUUGCCAUGUUCUUUGAGAAAAAGAAUGAGAUACCUACAAAUAAAUACACACAAGUAGAAAAGUACAAUAUUGGAAAAAUAUUAUCAUAAGAAUUAAUUUUCAAGGAAAACAGGUUGCUUAGCAAUGUUAUCAAAAUAUCAAAAGAUUCAUGUAAAAUGAGAAUCAAAUGAAAAGUAAUUUUAUCGAAAGGAAAUUAAACAAAGUAUCAAACCAUACAUGGUGUCUUCUUCUAUCAAUUAAUGUAAUAAAUCAUCUUAACAGUGAUAUCAUCCCAUAGAUGACAGCCCACUCAUGUUACCCAGAAAGCUAGAGAUACCAAUGGCACUCUCUCUAAUAAUAGCAGCACAGACACUAUCAUUCCCAUAGAAUCCUAAAGGCAGCAGCCUACUUGUGUUUCCAGAAACUUUACCACAAUUGGGUCAGAAAUGAUCUAAAAUAUUAAUUUAUUUAUUAAAUUUUCUGGUAUUGUUUCAUUUUCAUUGUUAGUUUGUCCACCAUUGGCUUUAUUCUUUCUAUACAAAAUUUCAGUUUGAUAUAUCAAUUCCAACAAAUUUCUUAUUGGUCUAUAUAAUCACUUAUGCAUAUUACGGUCACUGUAAGAAGAAUAACUCACCUAUAUUUCAGAAGGGAGUUUUGUUGCAACAUUUGAAUAUUUGUUUUUGGCUUUCUCAAGGAAUAGAUCUUCUCAAUGAUGAAAUCAAAUACCUAAAAAAAGAAAAAAGAAUAAACUAAUGCAAAUAUAUAUUUUUAGUUUUGCUUACACAUGCGCACGCAUGCACACACCCCUAACAUUCCUAAUAAGAUGAUCUCAUGUAUUUACAGUAUAUGCAUGGAGGUGUAGGCUGUUAUUUGUGAACAAGUAAUUUUGUUAAAAAGUAUUUUGCAAAAACCUUUGCUACUGCCGUUUGUCGAAGUCUGUCCAUCUCUUGCUGAACAUCCUGAAAAACUUCUGAUGCAUUUAACAUAUAAUCAAUUCCAACAAAUUUCAGCUUUUUGCUUAAGACCUCCAGGUGUCUCAGAUAUUCCUCAUUCACCUGUAAAAGACAAGUGAAUUGAUAACUUAACCAAACAUGUCACUCUACAUGCACAAAUGCUUAGAUCUGUGUGCAGGUAUGGAUAUGUCGUUUGAAACAUUUUGGCAGACAUGUUAUAACCCCCAUUUUGGCAGAGAUGCUAACCCAUAGUACCAAUGCUAAGGUACCUACAUCUAGAUAAUAAUAGUCCAGACAUCCUACAAGGUGCACCAGUAGAAGCACAAUGCUCUAUUGAGAUAUGCCAUGGUGCACAACUGCAGACCUCAGACAGCAUCAUCAUAAAUUGGCUCUAAAGGUGGUUGUAAUGGGUAUGAUUCAUACUGAUGGGCAGUGCAAGAUUCGCCAUUGCUUAGUGACACAUACAUGCAUGGUUUUAUUUAUUCCCCAGCUACCCAUACUGAUUGGUUAUCGGCACAGUCGGCAGAUGUUGUACAGAGCAUCUUUAAUGAGUCAGCAGGCCUAAGGAACUGGUACACAAAAUGGUAAGCACAUGCCCACUAGCACAACAUUCCUCGCAUUUAUGCAUAUGUGUGCAAAACUUACUGAAUUUUGGUAGUGUUAGUUUGACAUCCAACGACUUUUAAUUGUUGCUUGCACAGGCAAGAACAAAUUCGACCCUAGCCUUGCCAGGCUAUGAGAAGAAGGCAGGAUAAUGUCCUUGAAAUAUCAAUCCUGGCCUAUUGAGAAAUGGAUGCCAACAGCUCAACCUACAAACAUUGCUGCUGAGCACAAAUGCAGGAAAGAAGUUUUUGCUUGAUUCUGACAAUUAACAGAUCUUCUUCAUUAUACAAAUCAAUCAACUGAAAAAAGUCCUACGUAUUAGUCCCUAUAUCCCAUAUAAAAUGAGGAGUGAUAGCCAGUUUUGGUAAAAUUUAUGCUUCAUAACCUCAUAUGCAUUAUCUGACUAAAACAAUCUUGUUAUUGUUUUGUCAAUUAUUAAUAUAUGCUUGCGCACUUUCAUAUUGGAAGAAAAUUGUCCGACGAUUAAACUUUUUCUGUAGCACAUCUGUCUGGAAAUGUCUAUUAAAAAAGAUAAACCCCACCUUGAGACAUCUGUCUGGGACUAAGUUAAUGAAAAAAAAAAAGAAGAAAAAAAGAAAAAGAGAAGGAAAGUAAUAAUGUCCAAGAAUGGGCUCAAUAUGCUUCAAGUUCUCAUAUCGAAUAACAGAUAAGGACUAAGGUUACCUCUCCAUCAAUAAUAGCUGUCACCAGACUGGGGGGAGCUAUAAUUUCUUCGAUGAAUUUUGCCAAUUUCAAUUCCACCAGCUGUGAAAGAACAUUCCUGUGAGCAUAUUAACAUGCAAGAGAGAGGAAAAACGCAGCAUAAAUAAUUUGGCGGUUGGUACUCGAGGUCCCAAGUUCGAAUCCUAGUUGAUUCACAUUUCCAGCUAAGUUUAUUUCUAAAUGAAAUAAGCGAAGCGGGAAGCGGGUAGCAUGCUACCUAUCUCUCAAAAAAAAAAAAAAAAAAAUUGUACACCUCAAUAUGCGGAUCAUAAAUAAAUGCCCACUCACUGGCAAAUGUUUGAACUACGCAGUCCUUCUGUAUGAAUUUUUUCAUAAAAUGUAUCCAAACAACUUCAACUAUACACCAUUUGAAAUGGCACUCUCAACUUUAUUUACUUAUUUAUUUUUGUUGGCACCCCCUUAACUCGAAUAAAGUAAGGAUUUUAUCAAAUUCACCAAUAAUUCCAUCAAAUUUAAUUGUUUUGAUCAUCACUUUCAAGUAAAUGAAACUGGAACAAUUAAUGUCUAAUAGAGCCUUUAAAUUUAACAGUAUUUUCAACUUAACUAACAUGAUCAAAUAAAAUAAUUAGAAGUUAAGGAGGGUGUCAAACGAAAAAGUGAAGUUGAGGGGCCUAUUUCGAAAUGCCAUGUAUUUGAGGCAGUCUCCAUACAUUUUCACCAAAUUGUUUUCCACUUUAGUUUGAAUUAUUUCAACAAAUCUACUAAAGUAAAUAAUGACAUGUCCCAAAUUCACGCCAAAAUAUUAGUGUUUUUAAAUGAGAUGUAUUCAUUAAAUAACUUAACGGAUAUUUGGCUAACAAGUUAAAGGAACACCUCCUGUGUUCAUUGGCAGCUUGUCUAGAAUCGAGUCAAACAGAAACAGGACAAGUUAUCGCACUAAUGGCACACUGCUAGCAACAACACACCUAAGUCUGCUACACUUGUAUGUUUCAAGAAAUCAUUAUUUUUGUAGUAAUCUUAUAGAUAUUCAUUUAGGAUUUUCAGGUUCUGUUUCAAGAGAUGAUAUCCUGAAUGUUUCUCAUAUUCAUGUCAACUUGCACAAUUACAAAUCUACAUAUAAAAUAGGAUUUCCCUACCUUACGGUUCUUUAGCUUCAUACCCAUCUCCAUAGAUUUCUCCUGAAGACUCUUUAUUUCUGCACUAAUGGAACCAAUCUCCACCUGUCAUAAGAUUAGUUUAUUAGUUAGUAGAAGAUACCUGCUCUGCAUGACAUUGAAUUUCAUUUAUUAAUUCCAUUCAAUAUUAAAGAAACUUUCCAAAUAUCAGAAAAAGGGUUAGAAAGCAAACACCUGGAACCCACCCAGAAGAGAACCUAUUUGUGACAAAAUUAUUUCACAAUCAUGAAACUGACCAUGCAGUAGGACCAAGUUAUCACUCUCUUCAAUAUAGGUCUGCACAUGGGUGAAAGGAAAGUAUUAUACACUAGGAGUGCACAUAACUUUUAUAAAGCCUAAUUAUGAUGAGAGACAACAAAAUUAAUACAAAUAUGGCAUAGAAGUUAUCCUGCAAAUCUAAGAGAAAUUUUGCAAUAUAUUAAAAAUCAUAGAAAGACAAGUAGAAGCAGCAUAGAAGGGGGAGUAAAAGAUUAUGCCAUGAAGCACAUCGAAUUUCCAACAAUUGUUGUGUGAUUAGCACAAUGCUUUUGUUUUGAAGCCUAAUUAUGAUGAGAGACAACAAAAUUUAAUACAAAUAUGGCAUAGAAGUUAUUCUGCAAAUCUACGAGAAAUUUUGCAAUAUAUUAAAAAUCAUAGAAAGACAAGUAGAAGCAGCAUAGAAGGGGGAGUAAAAGAUUAUGCCAUGAAGCACGUUGAAUUUCCAACAAUUGUUGUGUGAUUAGCACAAUGCUUUUGUUUUGAUAUCUGCUUUAAGUUUCUUAUUCUUUAGUUCAUUUACAUGCAUUCUCCUUGAAAGUUACUAAUAUAUGUCAAAUAUAAAGACAAAGAAAUGCCAUUACUUCAAGGUAUCCCUGUUCAUCUCUGCGUAAGUUGCUCUCAACUCCCCUUGUAUACUCCUGCAAGUUUGUACCAUUGGCAAAUAUAUUUGCUGGUACCUUCAAAACAAGCAACAAAUUUCUUAGUACAAAUUUACAUGGUAGUGGUUGUCUAAGGCUCUAAGCAGAAAUGAAAAGUCAUGCUUCUACCAUGCACUAUACAUAUUGUCCAUUUGGGAUUGAUUCCACUCACUAAAUCAGUGUAGGAGUGUUUAUUUUGAAAAUCCUAUUGUUAAAUACAAUUUAAAUUAUCUUGACAUUUGUUAAUCUAACAUCACAGUCUACAGGAAAGGAAAUAAGGGAAAUCAUCAUCAUUUUGAAGAUCCCAUUGUUAAAUAUGAUCUAGAUUAUCAUUUUUUCUAUUAGUCUAACAUCAGAGUCCCUUGAAAAGGACACAACAGCAACAGUAACAACAAGUAUAUGACUGCUCAGUUGUUGAGGAGUUUAAUUAACUAAAAAAUGUGUGAAAAUGACAUCAUGUUAGUCUCAGUCCAAACUGUACCAUAUUGUAAUAGCUCAAGACCUCAGGUACAUUAAGAACAGAUAUUCAUACAAUGCCAUCAAAUUAUCAGCGUCAUCCAAGCCUUUUCCCUCUGCGGUGGGGUUGCCUAGAGAAAAGCUCUUAGGUAAGAAAGUUACAAACUAUUGGCAAAUUUACACUCUGACAACCAGACACCAAUCUUCUAAAAUUGGCAUAUCUUUAUAAAUCCAUACGCAUGAGACAGUAGGAGGCACUUUACUCACAUCAUCAUUACUGCAUCCUUUAAGUUCUUCAUGUAGCCCAUCCAAUGGUACAUCAUCACUGCUGGAGAAAAGUUGAAAAUUUCAGAUAUAUAAAAAACAUUAGCAAUAACUGUACACCCUCCAAGACAUAAAAAAAAGUUAAUCAUAUGAAGCAAAAUUAUAUUUUCUUAAAAAAUGGUAAUACACUUCAUUAUUAAACUUUUUAUAUCCCCGAAAUAUUUAAUCUCCCUUUACUUUCAAAGUAAAUAGAUCCAGAUCCUCCAAUACAGUUGGAUAUGCCAAUUACAAGUUAUAAUGAUAUCUCAAAAGCUUGGAAAUGUAUUCAUAGCUAAAGCUCAUUAUAAAUGAACAUAGACAAAUUAAAUGCACAAGCUACAGAAUAUAAAAGUUCAAUUUGGAAAAGUCAUAAACAAACCCAUGUUAAACAAACAAAAAAAAAAGUGCUCUUAAGCUUUUGUUUCCUCAAAUAAUAUGUAAAAAAGUCUAUUAUUUUGGCAUUACUAAAGCCAAACCUUUCCACUUUCAUAUUCUUUCUGAUGUCAAAUGCAAUCUUAGUUACACACAGUGCCAUUUUUGACUGCCUUAAAUUACCAAUAAGGAAAAUUAGAGCAAGAUCUGAAUUCCAGAGAGAAAAGAUGUCAGACCUACUAGAAUCCUCAUCUAAGGAAAAAUAAUCAGUAAAUAAUUGUUGGUCAGAUCCCUGCUUAAAAUCCUGCAUCUCACUGUUAUAGUCACCCUGAAUCCAUGCCUACAUAAAAUUCAGACAGAGAUAAAGAAAUAGUGCAAGUAAUUGGAACUAGAAUUUUAGCUCUAACAAUAUAAUUAUGAUCAGAAACAGUGAGAUUGCUAACAUAUUAACUACUCAAAAAGAAGUGGCAUAGAUUGUCAUUGUUAAAAACUCUUAUUAUGUUUUUCUUGUGUUAAUGUACAAUUCUUCACCUGUUCUCUUUGUUUGUUGCUUUUUCAGCUCCUGGCUUCUUUGACAGAGAAUAGGAAAUGAAGUUCAAGAGAGCAGGCAGAGCAUUCUGAGCUAUCGAUCAUAAAGGGUUUAAUGCAUCAGAUAUACCCAGAAGCACUCCUCUCUUUUCUCCUUAUAUCUCCCUUUCUCAUACAAAUAAAGUCUUUUUAACCCCUAAUGCCGCUACAGCAUUUAGAAAUAGGCACUAGAGUUUUCAUUGCUAACUACUUUUGCAAAGAGAAAUAUAAUUAUAACAAGAAUGACCAGAUACUUCGGGAGGGAAACAAAAUCAUCAAGAAAUUGUAUAGACAACUUUCUGAAAGGUUUUUAACACCCUGUACAAAUACAGCAUUUACAAAUAGGCAGUAGAGGCACUCCCUAUCAUGGUUAACUACUUUUGCAGUAAGAAGUAUAAUUAGAACCAGAUAAGUCAGACACUUCAUGAGGAGGGUUCUUACCAUUCUUGAUCAUCCUACUUUUCUUAUUUACCAAGGCCACAUGUAAAUUUACCUUCUGACAGAUCCAUAUCAUACUGAAAAAGAAAAAGGAAUCAUUAAUAUCAUCAUAUAAACCUACUUUUGCAUACGAAUAAGCACGAUUAGACGAAGGAUGGAUAAGGUGGUCGAGGAAAGAAACAGAGCCAUCAAGAAACUGUAGAGGGAAAAGGGAGAAAGGAGGAGAAUGCUUACCGUUAUUGAUCAUCUUACACGUCUUAUUCAAACUAUAAAUAUCAAAAAUCCUAGUUUUCUUGUUGAUCAAGGUGACACCAACAUUUAACAUUCGAAGAGACCUAAUUUCACAUCAAGCAAGGAAAGUAAAAUAUUAAUAUCAUAUAAACCCACUUUCGCAAAAGAAUAAGCAAUACUAGAUCAAGGAUGGAGGAUUCUUACCGUUCUUGAUCAUCUUACACGUCUUUUUCAAACUAGGAAUCAGCAAAAAUCCUAGUUUUCUCGUUGAUCAAGGUGACGCCAACAUUUAACAUUCAAUGAGACCUAAUAUCACAUCAAGCAAGGAAAGUAAAAUAUUAAUAUCAUAUAAACCCACUUUCGCAAAAGAAUAAGCAAUACUAGAUCAAGGAUGGAGGAUUCUUACUGUUCUUGAUCAUCUUACACGUCUUUUUCAAACUAGGAAUCAGCAAAAAUCCUAGUUUUCUUGUUGAUCGAGGUGACGCCAACAUUUAACAUUCAAUGAGACCUCAUAUCACAUUGAACAAGAAAAGGACGAGAUUAGUCUCAUAUAAACCUACUUUCGAAGAACGAAGAAGCACGAUUCGGUCAAAGGUGAAUCGAAUAGCUGAGCAGGAAAUUGCAGAGGGAAACGGAAGAGAGGGGAGAGGAAUCGUACCAUUAGGGAUUAGAGCGAGCUAGGGUUUGGAGAUUGGAAUGGCGCCUCUAGUGGCGAAAUCGCGGAUCUAUGCGAAGAAGAGAGAGAGAGAGAGAGAGAGAGAGAGAGCCGAUCCUUUCACUCUGCUCCGUUCGACGAGAAAUUUGCGGGACACGGGAUGCUUCGAUGCGUAUUUAUUGGGCAAGAAUCGGACCGUUGGAUUGUGAACGUUUCGAAAAGCUGCGGUGACGUUACCGCCAUGGAGACGGGUUUAAUUGGAUCAGCACUUUAAAUGAAGAAAAAAAAAAUAAUUGUUUACAAAUUACAAUAUGAAAAUUUUUAAAACCUUUAUUUAGCUCCAAACAACUAAUAGUCCAUUUGCUUGCGAUGAAUGCGCAGUUAAAAUCACAAUUCCUAUAAAGUUGCUAAUACAUAUGUUUGUUACGUCACUAGAUACGCCACUAGAUUUACUAAAUUUGUCGAAUUCGUACUCACAAACAUAUAGACUUUUUUUUUUGAGAGAUAGGUAGCACGCUACUCUCUUCGUUUAUUUCAUUAGAAAUAAACUUAGCUGAAAAUGUGAAUCAAUUAUGAUUCAAAUUUGAGACAUCGGAUAUCAACUACCAAGCCCUUUCUUUUGCUUUAGGGACAAUUGCUCUAGAGAUGGUCGGUCACAAACAUAUAGACUUUAGUUCUUCAUCGUAGUUGAGUGGGGCACAGAGUCAAUCAAUUAGGAUUCAAAUUUGAGACCUCGGAUAUCAACUACCAAGCCCUUUCUUUUGCUUUAGGGACAAUUGCUCUCGAGAUGGUCGGUCACAAACAUAUAGACUUUAGUUCUUCAUUGUAGUUGAGUGGGGCACAGAGUCAAUCAAUUAGGAUUCAAAUUUGAGACAUCGGAUAUCAACUACCAAGCCCUUUCUUUUGCAUUAGGAACAAUUGCUCUAGAAAUGGUCGGUCACAAACAUAUAGACUUUAGUUCUUCAUUGUAGUUGAGU